CAAUAGCGUAUAUUAAAGUUGUUGCAGUUAAAAAGCUCGUAGUUGGAUUUCUGGCGAGGCUUGGUCGGUCGGCGCUUAGCGUGUGAACCGUGUCGAGCCUUGCCAUCCUGAGGAAGAACCUUGUUGGCAUUAAGUUGUCGACUUGGGUACUCCUCUCGUUUACUGUGAAAAAUUAGAGUGUUCAAAGCAGGCUUAUGCCGUUGAAUAGUCCAGCAUGGAAUAAUAAGAUAGGACCUCGGUGCUAUUUUGUUGGUUUGCGCACCAAGGUAAUGAUUAAUAGGGACAGUUGGGGGCAUUAGUAUUUAAUUGUCAGAGGUGAAAUUCUUGGAUUUAUUAAAGACUAACGUAUGCGAAAGCAUUUGCCAAGGAUGUUUUCAUUAAUCAAGAACGAAAGAUAGGGGAUCAAAGACGAUUAGAUACCGU
rnacentral:rRNA from 1 species